GAAGUUAAGGUAUGUGAAGCUAACUCUCUAUGUUUGGGAAUGUUAAUGAUUCUCCUGAAACUACGUUUCUUUUAUGACGUUACUAAUUGCCUCACAAAUAUAGUUAAGCCUAGUUCCUUAAAUAGUUGCAUAACAACUAUUCUCUAGCUUCAUAACUCGUUCUUGACUUUCAUUCUGAACGUUGUGAGCUUAGUGUGUAAUCAAUAUAGACUUGGAUUUGAUGCCCAUGAGUAUCAAUAUAGAUUACUUAACAUGUCAUAAACAGUUGAAGUAUCAGUUUUCAUAAUCAGUUCAUGAAUACAUCUCUCAAUCUAGUCCUAUUUAGCAAUUCAGUAUCAUAUAACUCAGUAUGAUUCAAUAUUUCAACAUCACGUAUUGCAGUAUGAUUCUCAGUUCCUGAAUUUAAAUUCCUAAAUGUUGAACACCUGUAUUUGGGUAUGAGGCCGCAGUUUAUGCUUUAUGCAUGUUUGGGACUGAGGCUGCAGUUUAUGCUUUAUGCAUCUUUGAGCCUGAGGCCACAGUUAUGUAUACGUAUACUUGGGCCCGAGGCUGCAGUUUGUGCACAUAUAUAUUGGUCCUGAGGCCGCAGUUUAAUAUUCAGAUAAACAAGUGGUUCAUCAUUCAGAAGAGGGAGUAUUCAUAUCCUUACUUCUUUUGUUCAGUUCAGUUAUCAGUUGUCAGUUUUCAUUUCAGUUAUCAGUUAUUAGUUAUUAUUUUAGUUAUCAAUUAUCAGUUCAGUUUCAGUUUCAGCAUUUACAAUUCUUUCUUUUAGGUGCUUUACAUACCACUGCAAUUGAAAUAUACUGACAUCCCUUUCGCCCGGGGGCAGCAUCUCACGAUGCAGGUAAUGAUUUACAGGUUGACGAUUCAGAGCGCUAGGGUUUUCUUACCAGCUAUUUGGUGAGCCCCAGUUCUUUCUGGGCAUUAUCAUUACUUUACUGUCUUUCGGUAUUUACAGACAGUCAGUGUUUCUGUACUUCAUUAGAGGCUUCAUAGACUAGAGUAUCAGUUAG
rnacentral:lncRNA from 1 species